rnacentral:rRNA from 1 species
UUGUGUGUUAGUGGAACGGUCUGGAAAGUCCGACGGUACAGGGUGAUAGUCCCGUACACCAAAAUGCACAGGUUGUGAACUCGAAGAGUAGGGCGGGACACGUGGUAUCCUGUCUGAAUAUGGGGGGACCAUCCUCCAAGGCUAAAUACUCCUGACUGACCGAUAGUGAACCAGUACCGUGAGGGAAAGGCGAAAAGAACCCCGGCGAGGGGAGUGAAAAAGAACCUGAAACCGUGUACGUACAAGCAGUGGGAGCCUCUUUAUGGGGUGACUGCGUACCUUUUGUAUAAUGGGUCAGCGACUUAUAUUCUGUAGCAAGGUUAACCGUAUAGGGGAGCCGAAGGGAAACCGAGUCUUAACUGGGCGUUAAGUUGCAGGGUAUAGACCCGAAACCCGGUGAUCUAGCCAUGGGCAGGUUGAAGGUUGGGUAACACUAACUGGAGGACCGAACCGACUAAUGUUGAAAAAUUAGCGGAUGACUUGUGGCUGGGGGUGAAAGGCCAAUCAAACCGGGAGAUAGCUGGUUCUCCCCGAAAGCU